rnacentral:rRNA from 1 species
CAGCAGCCACGGUAAUACGAAGGGUGCAAGCGUUAAUCGGAAUUACUGGGCGUAAAGCGUGCGUAGGCGGUGAGUUAAGUCUGCUGUGAAAUCCCCGGGCUCAACCUGGGAAUGGCAGUGGAUACUGGCUCGCUAGAGUGUGUCAGAGGAUGGUGGAAUUCCCGGUGUAGCGGUGAAAUGCGUAGAGAUCGGGAGGAACAUCAGUGGCGAAGGCGGCCAUCUGGGACAACACUGACGCUGAGGCACGAAAGCGUGGGGAGCAAACAGGAUUAGACCCCCGUAGUCCCUGUCUCUUAUACAC